UAAGCGACUAAGCGUACACGGUGGAUGCCCUGGCAGUCAGAGGCGAUGAAGGACGUGCUAAUCUGCGAUAAGCGUCGGUAAGGUGAUAUGAACCGUUAUAACCGGCGAUUUCCGAAUGGGGAAACCCAGUGUGAUUCGUCACACUAUCAUUAACUGAAUCCAUAGGUUAAUGAGGCGAACCGGGGGAACUGAAACAUCUAAGUACCCCGAGGAAAAGAAAUCAACCGAGAUUCCCCCAGUAGCGGCGAGCGAACGGGGAGCAGCCCAGAGCCUGAAUCAGUGUGUGUGUUAGUGGAAGCGUCUGGAAAGGCGCGCGAUACAGGGUGACAGCCCCGUACACAAAAAUGCACAUGCUGUGAGCUCGAUGAGUAGGGCGGGACACGUGGUAUCCUGUCUGAAUAUGGGGGGACCAUCCUCCAAGGCUAAAUACUCCUGACUGACCGAUAGUGAACCAGUACCGUGAGGGAAAGGCGAAAAGAACCCCGGCGAGGGGAGUGAAAAAGAACCUGAAACCGUGUACGUACAAGCAGUGGGAGCACAGAGCAAUCUGUGUGACUGCGUACCUUUUGUAUAAUGGGUCAGCGACUUAUAUUCUGUAGCAAGGUUAACCGAAUAGGGGAGCCGAAGGGAAACCGAGUCUUAACUGGGCGUUAAGUUGCAGGGUAUAGACCCGAAACCCGGUGAUCUAGCCAUGGGCAGGUUGAAGGUUGGGUAACACUAACUGGAGGACCGAACCGACUAAUGUUGAAAAAUUAGCGGAUGACUUGUGGCUGGGGGUGAAAGGCCAAUCAAACCGGGAGAUAGCUGGUUCUCCCCGAAAGCUAUUUAGGUAGCGCCUCGUGAAUUCAUCUCCGGGGGUAGAGCACUGUUUCGGCAAGGGGGUCAUCCCGACUUACCAACCCGAUGCAAACUGCGAAUACCGGAGAAUGUUAUCACGGGAGACACACGGCGGGUGCUAACGUCCGUCGUGAAGAGGGAAACAACCCAGACCGCCAGCUAAGGUCCCAAAGUCAUGGUUAAGUGGGAAACGAUGUGGGAAGGCCCAGACAGCCAGGAUGUUGGCUUAGAAGCAGCCAUCAUUUAAAGAAAGCGUAAUAGCUCACUGGUCGAGUCGGCCUGCGCGGAAGAUGUAACGGGGCUAAACCAUGCACCGAAGCUGCGGCAGCGACGCUUAUGCGUUGUUGGGUAGGGGAGCGUUCUGUAAGCCUGCGAAGGUGUGCUGUGAGGCAUGCUGGAGGUAUCAGAAGUGCGAAUGCUGACAUAAGUAACGAUAAAGCGGGUGAAAAGCCCGCUCGCCGGAAGACCAAGGGUUCCUGUCCAACGUUAAUCGGGGCAGGGUGAGUCGACCCCUAAGGCGAGGCCGAAAGGCGUAGUCGAUGGGAAACAGGUUAAUAUUCCUGUACUUGGUGUUACUGCGAAGGGGGGACGGAGAAGGCUAUGUUGGCCGGGCGACGGUUGUCCCGGUUUAAGCGUGUAGGCUGGUUUUCCAGGCAAAUCCGGAAAAUCAAGGCUGAGGCGUGAUGACGAGGCACUACGGUGCUGAAGCAACAAAUGCCCUGCUUCCAGGAAAAGCCUCUAAGCAUCAGGUAACAUCAAAUCGUACCCCAAACCGACACAGGUGGUCAGGUAGAGAAUACCAAGGCGCUUGAGAGAACUCGGGUGAAGGAACUAGGCAAAAUGGUGCCGUAACUUCGGGAGAAGGCACGCUGAUAUGUAGGUGAAGUCCCUCGCGGAUGGAGCUGAAAUCAGUCGAAGAUACCAGCUGGCUGCAACUGUUUAUUAAAAACACAGCACUGUGCAAACACGAAAGUGGACGUAUACGGUGUGACGCCUGCCCGGUGCCGGAAGGUUAAUUGAUGGGGUCAGCGCAAGCGAAGCUCUUGAUCGAAGCCCCGGUAAACGGCGGCCGUAACUAUAACGGUCCUAAGGUAGCGAAAUUCCUUGUCGGGUAAGUUCCGACCUGCACGAAUGGCGUAAUGAUGGCCAGGCUGUCUCCACCCGAGACUCAGUGAAAUUGAACUCGCUGUGAAGAUGCAGUGUACCCGCGGCAAGACGGAAAGACCCCGUGAACCUUUACUAUAGCUUGACACUGAACAUUGAGCCUUGAUGUGUAGGAUAGGUGGGAGGCUUUGAAGUGUGGACGCCAGUCUGCAUGGAGCCGGCCUUGAAAUACCACCCUUUAAUGUUUGAUGUUCUAACGUUGACCCGUGAUCCGGGUUGCGGACAGUGUCUGGUGGGUAGUUUGACUGGGGCGGUCUCCUCCUAAAGAGUAACGGAGGAGCACGAAGGUUGGCUAAUCCUGGUCGGACAUCAGGAGGUUAGUGCAAUGGCAUAAGCCAGCUUGACUGCGAGCGUGACGGCGCGAGCAGGUGCGAAAGCAGGUCAUAGUGAUCCGGUGGUUCUGAAUGGAAGGGCCAUCGCUCAACGGAUAAAAGGUACUCCGGGGAUAACAGGCUGAUACCGCCCAAGAGUUCAUAUCGACGGCGGUGUUUGGCACCUCGAUGUCGGCUCAUCACAUCCUGGGGCUGAAGUAGGUCCCAAGGGUAUGGCUGUUCGCCAUUUAAAGUGGUACGCGAGCUGGGUUUAGAACGUCGUGAGACAGUUCGGUCCCUAUCUGCCGUGGGCGCUGGAGAACUGAGGGGGGCUGCUCCUAGUACGAGAGGACCGGAGUGGACGCAUCACUGGUGUUCGGGUUGUCAUGCCAAUGGCACUGCCCGGUAGCUAAAUGCGGAAGAGAUAAGUGCUGAAAGCAUCUAAGCACGAAACUUGCCCCGAGAUGAGUUCUCCCUGACUCCUUGAGAGUCCUGAAGGAACGUUGAAGACGACGACGUUGAUAGGCCGGGUGUGUAAGCGCAGCGAUGCGUUGAGCUAACCGGUACUAAUGAACCGUGAGGCUUAACCU
rnacentral:rRNA from 1 species